CGGAGGGUGCAAGCGUUAUCCGGAUUCACUGGGUUUAAAGGGUGCGUAGGUGGGCAGGUAAGUCAGUGGUGAAAUCUCCGGGCUUAACUCGGAAACUGCCAUUGAUACUAUCUGUCUUGAAUGCCCUGGAGGUAAGCGGAAUAUGUCAUGUAGCGGUGAAAUGCUUAGAUAUGACAUAGAACACCAAUUGCGAAGGCAGCUUACUACGGGGUGAUCGACACUGAGGCACGAAAGCGUGGGGAUCAAACAGGAUUAGAUACCCUGGUAGUCCACGCCCUAAACGAUGGAUACUCGACAUACGCGAUACACAGUGUGUGUCUGAGCGAAAGCAUUAAGUAUCCCACCUGGGAAUACGAUCGCAAGAUUG
rnacentral:rRNA from 1 species